UACGUAGGGUGCAAACGUUGUUCGGAAUCACUGGGCAUAAAGGGCGCGUAGGCGGUCCAUUAAGUCCUUUGUGAAAGCCCCCGGCUCAACCGGGGAAUUGCAGGGGAUACUGUUGGGCUUGAGUGCAGGAGGGGAGAGCGGAAUUCCUGGUGGAGCGGUGAAAUGCGUAGAUAUCAGGAGGAACGCCGGUGGCGAAAGCGGCUCUCUGGUCUGUUACUGACGCUGAGGCGCGAAAGCUAGGGGAGCAAACGGG
rnacentral:rRNA from 1 species